UGAGGAAUAUUGCACAAUGGGCGCAAGCCUGAUGCAGCAACGCCGCGUGCGGGACGAAGGCCUUCGGGUCGUAACCCGCUUUUCUGGGGGAAGAGCAAGGACGGUACCUCAGGAAUAAGUCUCGGCUAACUACGUGCCAGCAGCCGCGGUAAAAAGUAGGAGGCGAGCGUCAUCCGGAUUUACUGGGCGUAAAGCGCACGCAGGCGGCUCUGUUAGUCGGACGUGAAAGCUCCCGGCUUAACCGGGAGAGGCCGUUCGAUACUGCGGGGCUUGAGGUAGGGAGAGGAAUGCGGAAUUCCCGGUGUAGUAGUGGAAUGCGUAGAGAUCGGGAGGAACACCUGGGGCGAAAGCGGCAUUCUGGCCCUCACCUGACGCUGAGGUG
rnacentral:rRNA from 1 species